UCCCUCCCAGAAGGCCUCGGGGCAGAGCGGUCCCACCCGCUGCGCCCAGAACGGAGCCCGCGUUUCCGCAGAGCUGGAGCUCCCGGCUCGGGGUCUCUUCCCUCCGCCUUCACGGAACUGCCCCGGAGCCCGCGGCGAGGGCGGCCUCACUGACGCUGCAGGCUCUGGAGGGGCCCCGGAGGCUGAAGCCGCGGCAGUCGUGCGGACGGCGGGCCGGUUGUUUCAACAAGUAACUUAAAGACCAAAUGGAAAAAAAGGAGGUUUGUGCCUGAGAUCAUGUUGAUGUGAAACCAGGGAUGGCCACCUUGUCCCAGGUACAAAACAAAGAAUCGCUUUGCACAAAGCCAGAAGGGCUACACUGAAAGAAUGAUCAGAAAAGAAUAAUACAUAGGUGAAUGGAUAAAGAAGAAGAGGUCCAUGUACACAAUGGAAUAUUCACCAUGGAGAACAAUGAAUUAGUGCUCUUUGAGGCACCACAGAUGAGCCUAGAGAUAAUCAUGGAACAUGAGGUUCCUUCGCCGGCGCAUGGAGGAAGUCUCUCGGGUGGCCACAAACCAAAUGUUCCUCGGUCCUUACACCUUGCUUCCUACAGAAACCCCCACUGCUCUCCCCUAAGCCUCGGACCUCUGGUCGCCCGACUCCCCUUUCGACGCCCCCAUUCAGCAUGAAGUAGCCAGAGAUCAGAACGCCGCCCCAUUACACCAAAGAUGUCGGGAUGUAAGGCCAACUGGCCCGAGGCAGGGGAACGCAAUCAGAUUCACAGGUUGCAUCAGACCGAAACUCUCCGGACCACCCAGUUCCAGAAACUGACCUGGAGACAUUCCGGACCACCCAGUUCCAGGAACUGACCUGGGGGCUUUCCACCCGGCCCAGCCUUCCCGCCUUUCGAGGGACGGGACUAGCGGUCCCAAGACUGAUGGAACCGGCACCAGAUAGUGCCACGACACCCGAAGAGACCACCAGAUAAGGAAUUCCCUGCGCCCUCCCAGAUUCACCACACCCCUUUCCCUUCUUCCCCUAUAAAAUCUUGCCCAGCCCUCACCCGGGGGCGACUUCUCUGGCCCCUUUCUCUCGGACCAGUGAACCUCGCCCGGCAGCG